rnacentral:sRNA from 1 species
UUUUUUAUGUUACUUUAUUAAGUAACAGUAAAGUUUAUGACGGUGGCUAUCUUUUUCGAAAGUGAGGUGGUGCGUAUGUGCGUACUAACUAAAACUAAAGAAAGGAGAAGCCUUUUGUCUGCAUUUGAGACGAUUCAGGUAAUUUUAGGUUUUGGUACAUUUACCAUCGCCUUAAUUGCUUUAGU